AAUUAUAGGUAGCAAAGGGUAAAAUCAAACUGCUAUUAUAUAAGUCAAAGUGAUUCGAGCCGAAGCUAAAAAGGUUUAGUUAAGCACUAGGAUUAGAUACCCUAUUAUUCUAAACUGAAACAAAGCUCACUAAGUUAGUAAUAGUUAGUUGCUUAAAAAUUAAAGAAUUUGGCGGUGAUUUAAUCUUGCCAGAGGAACUUGUUUCUUGAUCGAUAUGCCACGCAGAAUCUUACUUGUUUUUGUAACUAUCAGUCUGUAUACCAUCAUUAGCAGGUAAUUUUAAGAAAACUAAUUACUGGAUAAUAAUUGACUAUGGAAAUUAGAUCAUGGUGCAGCUUAUAAACAAGUUGAAAUGAGUUACAAUAAGGCUUCUUAUACGGAUCAGUAAAGUAAGAGUUACUGUGAAGGAGGAUUUGGUUGUAUUUUAAGUUUAAUAAGCUUAUAAGAUAUAGGUUCUAAAUUAUGUACAUAUCGCCCGUCGCUUUCGU
rnacentral:rRNA from 1 species